AUUGAACGCUGGCGGCAGGCCUAACACAUGCAAGCCGAGCGAGCGGCGGACGGGUGAGUAAUGUAUGGGAACUGCCCGACCGAGGGGGAUAACAGCUGGAAACGGUGGCUAAUACCACCUAUUGUCGUAUAAACCCUAGGGGCUUAGCUAGUAGGUAAGGUACUGGCUUACCUAGGCGACGAUCCCUAGCUGGUCUGAGAGGAUGGUCAGCCACACUGGGACUGAGACACGGCCCAGACUCCUACGGAGGCGGCAGUGGGGAAUAUUGCACAAUGGGCGCAAGCCUGAUGCAGCCAAGCCGCGUGUAUGAAGAAGGCCCUAGGGUUGUAAAGUACUUUCAGUCGGGAGGCGUUACCGACAGAAGAAGCACCGGCUAACUCCGUGCCAGCAGCCGCGGUAAUAC
rnacentral:rRNA from 1 species